rnacentral:rRNA from 1 species
AACGUAGGAGACAAACGUUAUCCGGAGUUACUGGGCGUAAAGGGCGUGUAGGUGGUUUUAUAAGUCUGGCGUGAAAUUUCUCGGCUUAACCGAGGCAGGUCGUCGGAUACUAUGAGACUAGAGGACGGUAGAGGCGUGUGGAAUUCCGGGUGUAGUGGUGAAAUGCGUAGAGAUCCGGAAGAACACCAGUGGCGAAGGCGGUCUGCUGGGCAGUGGACUCGAGAGAGUCCUUCAACCGACACUGAGGCGCGACAGCGUGGGGAGCAAACAGG